AAAAAAAUUUUGAGGAAAAAAAAAUUUGAGGAAAAAAUAUUUUGAAGGAAAAAAAAAUUUCAGUUUGGACUUGUAAUAUUUUUCAAAAUUUGAAUAUCGAAAAAGGAAAUGGAAACCGAAUAAGGAAAUGAAAAUCCAAUAAGGAAAUGAAAAUCCAAUAAGGAAAUGAAAAUCCAAUAAGGAAAUGGAAACUGAAUAAGGAAAAAGUAACCGAAUAAGGAAAUGAAAAUCCAAUAAGGAAAUGAAAAUCCAAUAAGGAAAUGGAAACUGAAUAAGGAAAUAGAAACCGAAUAAGGAAAUAGAAACCGAAAAAGGAAAUGAAUAUUGAAAAAGGAAAAAGAAACCGAAUUAGGAAAUGGAAAUCGAAUAAGGAAAUGGAAAUCGAAUAAGGAAACGAAAAUCCAAUAAGGAAAUAGAAACCCAAUAAGGAAAUAGAAACCCAAUAAGGAAAUAGAAACCGAAAAAGGAAAUGAACAUUGAAAAAGGAAAAAGAAACCGAAUAAGGAAAUGGAAAUUGAAUAAGGAAAUGGAAAUCGAAUAAGGAAAAGAAAAUCCAAUAAGGAAAUAGAAACCGAAAAAGGAAAUGAACAUUGAAAAAGGAAAAAGAAACCGAAUAAGGAAAUGAAAAUCGAAUAAGGAAAUGGAAAUCGAAUAAGGAAAUAGAAACUGUAUAAGGAAAUGAAAAUCGAAUAAGGAAAAAGAAACCGAAUAAGGAAACGAAAAAAAAAUUUGAAAACACUUUUUGAGGAAAAAAAAAUUUGAGG
rnacentral:lncRNA from 1 species